UGUCUUCAUGCUAGUGCUGUUUUGUUGUAUUUGUGAUUUUGUGCUUAUAUUUGUUAAAAUAAAUGUCACAUUUGAGUUUCACCAUGAAGAUUCGAAAUUGUCUUAAUUCAUUCAAUAUCAAAUUUAUUUGCCAACUAGUCGAUGACUAAUGGUACCCGACUAGUCAACUAAUGAUUUUCAAUAGUCGUCCCAACCCUAGUGUAUAUCCAUACUUCCUUUUGUCACCGUACUUGGUCAGGAGA